GACGAACCGAGCGAACGUUGUUCGGAAUCACUGGGCUUAAAGGGAGCGUAGGCGGGCUAACAAGUCUGGGGUGAAAUGCCGCGGCUCAACCGUGGAACUGCCUCAGAUACUGUCGGCCUCGAGGGAGAUAGGGGCAUGCGGAACUAACGGUGGAGCGGUGAAAUGCGUUGAUAUCGUUAGGAACUCCGGUGGCGAAAGCGGCGUGCUGGAUCUCUUCUGACGCUGAGGCUCGAAAGCUAGGGGAGCAAACGGG
rnacentral:rRNA from 1 species